CUUUAUAACCUCUUCUUCCUUCUCCUUCACUUCUUCUUCCUCUUUCUCUCUUCCUCCCUGCAGUGGUUCGCCAUCAUCUUGGUAUCAGAGCCUCGGCUUUGCCUCUGUUGCCAAAGCCCCGAGAUCUUAUUUCUGGACGGACCACCCCGAUUUGUUCUCCACGUCUGCCGUUGCUGCCACUUGAAACCACCGCCGCCCCUGCUGCGCAGCCUCCUCUUCCACCAUCCACCUUCCCCUCUUCAUCUUCCACACAAACCUCCCGAUUUCAACAUGCUCCCUCUCCCUCUUU
rnacentral:lncRNA from 1 species